CAUUUGCCCGCCAUUUGUGAAGUCCGACGAUAAAUGAUAUCCCAAACGGUCUGCUAGUCUUUGGAGAAGAAAGAACCCUAGGAACCUCUCGACCUCCUUAGAAAGCUUCUUCCUCUGUACGAAAAUGGCGUCUCUGCUUCACUCUCCGUCUCCUCGGACCUCUCUCCUCCCGCCGAACCUCUUGCGCUCGCGCUCUUCAAUCCUUCCCCCUUCUCGAUUCCGGACCACCGUCAGGUGUGAUAUGGUGGAGCCUUUGAAGUACGUGAACGGAAAGCCGCUUCUCGGCGGCGGCGAGGCGACGCUGCCGAACAUUUUGGCGCCUAGAACGAAUUUGGAGAAUGUUGUUAACAAGAACGACACCAGGCUCCGAAUCUUCUCUGGCACCGCCAAUCCUGCCCUUUCGCAGGAAAUUGCAUGCUACAUGGGUCUAGAACUUGGAAAGAUCAAGAUAAAACGCUUUGCUGAUGGAGAGAUAUAUGUUCAAUUGCAAGAAAGCGUCCGGGGGUGUGAUGUAUUUCUUGUACAACCCACAUGCCCUCCUGCAAACGAAAAUCUCAUGGAGCUUCUGAUCAUGAUAGACGCUUGUCGGAGGGCAUCGGCCAAAAAUAUUACUGCAGCAAUUCCAUAUUUUGGAUAUGCCAGGGCUGAUAGAAAGACACAAGGACGUGAAUCUAUUGCAGCCAAACUUGUUGCAAAUUUGAUAACAGAAGCAGGUGCAAAUCGAGUUCUUGCUUGUGAUCUUCAUUCCGGACAAUCCAUGGGCUAUUUUGAUAUUCCUGUUGAUCAUGUAUAUGGUCAGCCUGUGAUACUCGAUUACCUUGCUAGCAAGACUAUAUGUUCUGAUGAUUUGGUAGUGGUCUCACCUGAUGUUGGGGGAGUUGCUAGAGCACGUGCUUUUGCCAAAAAGUUAUCUGAUGCUCCUCUAGCCAUUGUGGAUAAAAGGCGCCAUGGGCAUAAUGUUGCUGAGGUGAUGAAUUUGAUAGGUGACGUGAAGGGAAAAGUGGCAGUAAUGGUGGAUGACAUGAUCGACACUGCUGGUACUAUUUCAAAAGGUGCAGCUUUAUUGCAUCAAGAAGGCGCCAGGGAAGUGUAUGCAUGCACUACACAUGCUGUUUUUAGUCCUCCUGCGAUAGAGAGGUUGUCAAGCGGUUUGUUUCAAGAGGUGAUCAUAACAAAUACCAUUCCGGUGUCAGAGCAGAACUAUUUUCCCCAGCUAACCAUUUUGUCAGUGGCAAAUCUACUUGGCGAGACAAUAUGGCGUGUUCAUGACGACUGUUCUGGUGGCUUUGAACCAUAUUCCACCUUGGGCAUUGACUGAUUUAUUCAUGAUGGUGGUGUGCCCCUCCCUGCGUCCGUUCUGCAAUUAGCUACUUUGUUGAGUACGAUGUUGUCAGUAGCAAAACCAAAAGCUUUCUAGAAAGACCCUGCUCUUUGCUGGUUGUUUCAGAACUCUGUACAAUUUUGGUAAUGAUGGAGACUCUUUUAAGUAGGAAUAUACUUUCACAUAGGUUGUGAUCACUGUUGCCCCGUUGGAGAAAACAGAGCUAACUCAUGGAAGUUCUUCUCCGUCUGUUCUAUUCCAAGUCACACAGAGGAUACAGGCUUCAGAAACUUAAAAGGUGAAGAACCGACUUGCAGCAACAGCAGUCACUAGUUUGACACGGCAACUAUAAACUUGUAGAUAACGUUAUACUGCGGAACCUGGCUGAUUAGCUAGACCGACUCCAUUUGCAUACCAACGCCACUUGUUGCAAUUUAACUGGUGCUUUUACGCGAUGAUUGAGCUGAUAAGAAUUGAGCUGAUGUCAGUGAAUGAUGCUGAUAUGCUGCAAAUGUUAACGUCAAUGCGCUGGAGGCAUACAAAGAGCGAAGACAGUGAUAUCAGUUAGUAGAAGCGUUGAUACUAACUUCUCUUUUACUUCCGUUCUCUCAUUGUUGUGGAACUUGUCAUGCAUGCAUCCGUUAUCCUUUCAAGCGAAUGCUAUAGUGUUUGAUAUGAUGUGGCUAGAAAUAUGUCAUGUCGAAAUUCCUCUGAAGGAUAAUAACUCUUCUAUGGGCUAGAUGCAUUAAGUUAACUAAAUCUGCCAGAGAUGUUAGAUCCUCCAAACAUAUAUUAAAACGUGCCACAAAAAAAAGUACGAAUUUUC